ACAAGAUCCAAAUCAAUGUCCUUCCGGGAGAAUUUCUUAAAAUCUUGUUUUCUCUCGUUGUCUUCGGAAGAAGCCCGACAUUUCUUAUAGGAAAUGGAACUCUUCAUAAGGUUCAUCUCAAAGAUCUCUCUUUGCAUAAUGUGUGUGUGGACCUGCCUACAGAUACAUUGGGUGGAAGCCCUAGGAGCCUCAAGCAAGUCUGAAGAUUGGCCCUGAGAACCACUGUUCUCAUUAUCAGCAAGGAUUUUAUCCAGAGACCUCUAGGAAUACAUUCACUAAAAUGUGACUGUGGUCCUGUGGUUGUAUGAACUCUGGCUCUUCUCGUGAAUUACAUUUCACUGGAGUCAGGUGUUUUCUGUAAACAUCGUUAAACCACGAGACCAACUGCAUUGA
rnacentral:lncRNA from 1 species